rnacentral:lncRNA from 1 species
AAAAACAUACAGAUUAGCUGCUACAUAUUAGCUAUUCAGCCUAUAGCAAGUUCUAUAAAAAUGUUCUAAAUUCCUUAAUAUUUAAAAUAGGAAAAAAAAAAAAACCUAAAGUCUUUUUUUAAAACCUGCUGGACAUAGUGGUGUGUCCCUGUAAUCCCAGCUACUUGGGAGUCUGAGGCAGGAGAAUUUCUUGGGUCCAGGAGUUCUGGGCUGUAGUGAGCUAUGUGGCUGAGGUGUCUGCACUAAGUUUGGCAUUAACACAGUGACCUCCAGCAGCAGAGGACCAGCAGGCUGCCUAAGGAGGGAUGAACCAUUUAAGGAUGAAAAUAGAGCAAGUCAAACUCCUGUGCUAAUCAGUAGUGGGAUUAUGCAUGCGAAUAGCCACCACACUCCAGCCUGGGCAACAGAGAGAGACUCAAUCUCCUAAAAAUAAAAAUAAUAAAUAAAUAAAUAAGAGUUAAUAUUAGUGUCCUCAUCAGUCUAAUGAGAGAAUUAAUAUUCUACAAAUCGCUCAUCAUGACGCCUGAUAACUAAUCAUGACCACCGCUCCCAUCCCCCAACUGCUAGUCAUUAUCACAUUCAAGAAGGUCUCAACAAAGGCCUCAGAAGCCACAGUGAUCCUCUCCUUACAGCCCGGUCUUUGGCCUUUUCGACUCUAAAGACUCGAACCUCCAAUCUCUUUCAGUUUCAGAGGUCCAACUUUGACCCUUGUGAGGCAGACACUAAAGAUUUAAGAAAGAGAAUUACUAAGAGGCAAUCAGGUUAAGUAAUGAAAAGGACACUGUUUAUAGUCAGCAGACGUGCAUUUGAAAUACUGGCUUUGCAAAUUAAAGCCAGUUGCCUUAGACAACGUUUAGGUUUUUAUGUCCCAGUUUCCUCAACUGUACAAUGGUGGUAAGUUUGCUUCAAUAAGUUGUAAGAAUUAAGUCAGAUAUUUAUAUAUAGUAUGCAUCAGGCAUUAAGAAUAUGGUAGCUAGGAUAUUGCUGAUGGACUUGAUGACACAGGAGUGUUGGGGAAACAUAAUUAAAAAGAAAAUGUCCUCUCAAACCAGAAACCCUCUCCACAAAGGU